rnacentral:lncRNA from 1 species
CUUAUGUAAGGACCCCCAGAUAAAGCUUUAAAGUACAUUGUAGACACAAUUGGUAGAUUUGGUAAUUUAUGACAUUUCUGUAUAUCUUCAUAUCUUCAAAGCUUAAGAUUCUUUGAAUUACUUUUGGUUUCAAAGGCUUGAAAUAAACAGACAAUACCAUGGCUAAAAAAGAAAAAAAGGCAAACAGAAAAACAAUAGUUCACAAGAC